UUUGAGCCACUGCAUCCCCUAGCGGCGCCCGGGUGGCUGCAGCCGCUGGCCCGAAAAUGCUGCUCGGGCGAGCAGGGGUCAGGCGGGAAAAGAAGACUCCAAAUCCACUCUCUGCUCGCCCCCAGGGCAAUGCUGCCAGGAGAGGGAGUGGGUUCCCCCGCAGGCUAUCCCACCGAUGGGGCUGAGAGCUUAAUUUGGGGUUUUAUUUGAAUUGGAGACAUUGUUCCCUCUUCGCUCCUCUACCCCAUAAAAUUCCCUACAAAUGCAAAAAUUCGAGAUAGAAGAAGCCGUCCCUGAAAGUAAGUUCUGAAGGAUUCCUUUCAUGCGGUGAAGGAACAACAACAAUAUUCAACUUCACCUUGGUGUGUGAGGGUCGUCGUGUUUUAAAACACUAUCCCUGUAGAAAGAUUAGUGAAAUGUAUUGGAAGAAGUAGUGGAAACGUGAAUCUUCCUGGUCUCGCGUUUGGAUCUUCUUUGGAGUCCUCACCUUCUUAAAUCUGAUGUUUGUUUGAAAUCAGGGCUGAAUUUCCAUAUAUAGGACAGAAAGAAAGAACCCCAAUUUUUUAAAGAAAGCUCCCCCCCCCCCCGCCACGUUUCUCCUGAGCCCACUUGGUCUCCCGUUAUUAGGCGGCCCAGUUAAGAGGCAUCGAUUUUCCUUUCAUUCUCUGACCACUCGUCUCUCCUGGGCCAGCCAGGCUGCCCGCAUCUUCUCCUGCUCACAGCGCUCUCUAAACCUUUUAAUUAUUUAGUUGCUGUCUAACAUUCACCGGAAACCUCUCCAUAAACAAGGAGAAACGAAUGCACACGCAUUUUUGCUAAGAAGCCCGGGAUUAAGAUUUAAGGAUACAAGCUGAAAGAAAAAAUGAAAAAUGCUUCUCCGCGCGUCAAUCGAGGGGUGGAUGCGCCACGCAGCGUGAGCCCAGCUCACAGCCACGCGUAAGACCAAAAGCUGCCAUGGGUUCUGCGCGCGGAGACCUCAGAGCCGAAGAGAGAAGUCCCCGCGUCAGAAACGCUGCGGAUGCCAGGUCUUGAAAAUGCUGACUUCUGAGGCUAAGAAUUAUUUCAAAGACAAAAAGAAAAGACUGGAGCAGCCGGCGGAGCUCGGGUGGAGGAAAGCGAGGAGGCGACCAGGAGGAUGCCGCCGCCGCCGCCGCAGGGCCCGGGGCUUCUGCAGGGCGCAAGGCCUCCCUCACCAGGGUAAGGGGCUGGCGAUCAACCUGGACGCCUGGGACCUUGGGAGCAAGCAUCCCGCAGCCGAGCAGGCGACGGCGCGGCCACCGCCUAGAGAGGAGCCGGGGCCCGGGGCGGCGUGCGGGUCGGCAGCAGCCGGCUUGGCCUAUCCGAAACCCCAGGCCUGGAAGCGGCUGCUUUAGGCGUCAAGUUGAGCGGGGCAGAAGAAAGAAGCGGAGCCGAGCCGAGCCGCCGAGUCCCUCCCCCCGGAGCCCCGGAGCCCCGGCGCCUGCCUGGGCGGUCCCGGCCGCGCAGACAGAAAAGAAGCCGGGAAUCUGCGGGGCUGGGGGGCGGGGAGCGACACCAAAGGCCAGAAACUGCAGCACGGCCCGAGGCCCUGGCGAGCUGGGCCUGGGGGAGGAGAAGUCCCUUCCCAUUCCAGCUCGAUCAAUCUUGCUGGGCUGCGAUCGGUCAAUAAAAACGGUGUGAAGCGGC
rnacentral:lncRNA from 10 species